rnacentral:tRNA from 1 species
UGGGUUGUGGCUCAGUGGUAGAGUGCUUGCCUAGCAUGUGUGAGUCCCUGGUUCAAUUCUCAGCAGCACAA